rnacentral:rRNA from 1 species
GACGAACGCUGGCGGCGUGCUUAACACAUGCAAGUCGAACGGAAAGGCCCUGCUUGCAGGGUACUCGAGUGGCGAACGGGUGAGUAACACGUGGGUGAUCUGCCCUGCACUUCGGGUUAAGCCUGGGAAACUGGGUCUAAUACCGGCUAGGAGCCAUUUUUAGUGUGAUGGUUGGAAAGUUUUUUCGGUGUGGGGUGAGCUGGCGGCCUAUCGGCUUGUUGGUGGGAUAAUGGCCUACCAAGGCGGCGGCGGGUAGCCGGCCUGAGGGGGUGGCCGGCCAAAAUGGGACUGAGAUACGGCCCAGACUCCGACGGGAGGCAGCAGGGGGGAAUAUUGCACAAUGGGCGCAAGCCUGAUGCAGCGACGCCGCGUGGGGGAUGACGGCCUUCGGGUUGAAAACUCCUUUCGCUAGGGACGAAGCUUUUUGUGACGGUACCUAGAUAAGAAGCACCGGCUAACUACGUG